GUGGUAAAAAUGUAAAAUGGCAGCUUUUUGGAGAGAUACAGGCUGAAAAAUAAAAUUCUCUUUUAUCAUACUCAUUCUCACUGUGAGGACCAGCUUCAGCUUUGAUUUAUCUUUUUUGCCGUGGACCAGAGCUCUUAAUCUACAAAAGGAAGGCGUGUCUUACAACUGACUACUCAGUUCUGACCUGUAAUGUGAUG
rnacentral:lncRNA from 1 species